UACGGGGGGGGCAAGCGUUGUUCGGAAUUACUGGGCGUAAAGGGCUCGUAGGCGGCCCACUAAGUCCGACGUGAAAUCCCCAGGCUUAACUUGGGAACUGCGUCGGAUACUGGUGGGCUUGAAUCCGGGAGAGGGAUGCGGAAUUCCAGGUGUAGCGGUGAAAUGCGUAGAUAUCUGGAGGAACACCGGUGGCGAAGGCGGGUCUCUGGGCAGUAACUGACGCUGAGGAGCGAAAGCGUGGGGAGCGAACAGG
rnacentral:rRNA from 1 species